GUUUACCAACCAAAUGCCACAACAUCUGCCCAACACAACUCUACUUUGUGACUUUGUGUAGCUGAUUGGUCCUGCAAAAUGUGGGCAAGCACAAUGGCAAGCUAAUCAAGCACCAUCAUCACCUCCAGCCUCCACCCCACCACCAACUCCAUCACCCCAUCAACACCCUGAACCCCAACAUCAAACAUCCCAUUCAUCAUCAACCACCCCCUCUCCAACCCUCUCCCCCUCUCUUUCCCAAACCCCUCUUGAACCCCCUCACCGUCUCUUUCACAACCCCUCUCUCGAACCCCCUCCCCUUCUCUUUCACAAUCACCAUCUCCAACCCCCUCCCCCUCUCUUGCCCAACCCACCUCUCAGCCCCCCUCCCUCUCUCUUGCCCAACCCAUCUCUCAGCCCCCCUCCCCCUCUCUGGCCCAACCCACCUCUCAGCCCACCUCCCCCUCUCUUGCCCAACCCACCUCUCAGCCCCACUCCCCCUCUCUUGCCCAACCCACCUCUCAGCCCCACUCCCCCUCUCUGGCCCAAACACCCUCUCAGCCCCACUCCCCCUCUCUGGCCCAAACACCCUCUCAGCCCCACUCCCCCUCUCUGGCCCAAACACCCUCUCAGCCCCACUCCCCCUCUCUAGACCAAACACCCUCUCAGCCCCACACACCCUCUCAGCCCCACUUCCCCUCUCUGGACCAAACACCCUCUCCGCUCCCCUCCCCCUCUCAAUCAGACCCACCAUCUCUAAACAACUCACCCUUCCAUCCUCCUUCCCUAAUCCAGCCUCCUUCCCCAAUCCAGCCUCCUUCCCCAAUCCAGCCUCCUUCACCACCCACUGAAUGGGCAGCAGAGGCCCCCGGGGAGUUUGAGGGUGCUGGACAUGUGGAAGAUGAUAAUGGUGCAGUUGGAGAUCCCACAACUAUUCCUGGCAUUCUUGCCAGCAUAAAGCGAAAUAUGAGGGCCUUGCUGGCAGACAUUGAGGACCUGGAAAAAAAAUGUCAAUAAAAUAUUUUAUGUUCAUUACAAAAAAAAAAGUUUAUUAAAAAAUAAAAAAAAAGUUGUAGGAAAAUAAAAACAAAAAAUUAUUUAAAUUUAA